rnacentral:rRNA from 1 species
ACGCACGCUGGCGGCGUGCUUCACACAUGCAAGUCGCACGGAAAGGCUCCAGCUUGCUGGAGUACUCGAGUGGCGAACGGGUGAGUAACACGUGGGUAAUCUGCCCUGCACUCUGGGAUAAGCCUGGGAAACUGGGUCUAAUACUGGAUAUGACCUUUCUCCUUAUGGGGUUUGGUGGAAAGUUUUUCGGUGUAGGAUGAGCCCGCGGCCUAUCAGCUUGUUGGUGGGGUGAUGGCCUACCAAGGCGACGACGGGUAGCCGGCCUGAGAGGGUGAUCGGCCACAUUGGGACUGAGAUACGGCCCAGACUCCUACGGGAGGCAGCAGUGGGGAAUAUUGCACAAUGGGCGGAAGCCUGAUGCAGCGACGCCGCGUGAGGGAUGACGGCCUUCGGGUUGUAAACCUCUUUCAGCAGGGACGAAGCGUAAGUGACGGUACCUGCAGAAGAAGCACCGGCUAACUAUGUG